UCCACCGCGAGGUGGAAUCUGAAGGAAGCCGGCGGCAAACUCCCGGCCUGACGAACAGGAAGUGCAUAUAAGGCCAAAGUUGUUUGGAUGAGAUUGCAACACGAAUCGAAGUCCCAUACUGCACGGGGACAACAUGGUAAAUGCAACAGGUAUAUGGGAUGAAAGUUAUCGUU
rnacentral:ncRNA from 1 species